rnacentral:snoRNA from 2 species
CCCCUCUCAAGGUCACACCCUGGAGAGUUCCCAGUACUCUACCAGCCUCGACUACAGGAGGGAGAGUCAGGCAGAGGCAUAUCCAUUCCACUCCUAGCUUGGGCAGUGGCUAGUGAGUGGAAGGCAAUCUGCUAUAAGU